rnacentral:lncRNA from 1 species
CGCUGGGAAAUGUAGUCCGCCUGCGUUGAGGUAAAUCCCGAGGGGGGUGCGGGUCGCGCAUGGCGGUGGUCUUCUCUCCCCCGCCUCCCCCUCAGGGAAGGUAUUUCAGUUGCCUCCUUGGGAGGAUUGAAACGCCGUGCUUGCCCCCGCCGAGGCCCCGUGCUCCCAACAGCGGCUCGCCCCACAAACAAGAGGAGGAAGACCCCCAGUUACGGGGGGGAAAGGCCGCCGCAGGCCAGCCGGAGGGGCCUCUGGUCAAGCCUCGCAGCAUAAAGGCCCGGUGCCCCCCUCCCCGCCUCACCACGCCGACACCGGAGUCGUGGAAAGGAGGAGGAGAGACUGAGUUUCACUUCAUGCUUCAGCCAGAGCACACGGAUACGACAAGCAUGCCAAACUCUUUCAUCUGCCUGGGAUUGCUCUCUUCCAGAGUGGUUUUCCUUUCUAAGAUGCUGUUAAACUCCCUUCCUCAUGAGUUUCCCAUCCUUUAAAUGAAGAGGGAACCGUUCCAGUCCUGGAGAUAUCCUGAUGUCUUUUCUGCAGCGUGGGAAGGAGAUGGAAAGAAAACAGCAAGAACUGCUUGUUUGGUGCAUUCCUGGGGACUGUGCUUGCCCCUGCAGUAUCCCAGCACCACCCCAGCAACGUGUUGGGUGACGUGAGUAACAUCUGUCACACGCUGUUUGCUCUUUUCAUCCCCGUCCCAGGGGUGAGCGCUGCACCGUGGCCUUGCUUCAGAU